AGUCUUCAGGGCAGGGUGAAAUUCCCGACCGGCGGUAAAAGUCCGCGAGCUGCGUUGGAAUCCCAACAAUGCUGAUUCGGUGCAAUUCCGAAACCGACAGUACAGUCUGGAUGGAAGAAGAU
rnacentral:ncRNA from 1 species